rnacentral:rRNA from 1 species
UACAGAGGGUGCAAGCGUUAAUCGGAUUUACUGGGCGUAAAGCGUGCGUAGGCGGCAGGAUAAGUCGGAUGUGAAAUCCCUGGGCUCAACCUAGGAACUGCAUUCGAUACUGUCCCACUAGAAUUCGGUAGAGGGUGGCGGAACUCCAGGUGUAGCGGUGAAAUGCGUAGAUAUCUGGAAGAACACCGAUGGCGAAGGCAACCACCUGGGCCUGAAUUGACGCUGAGGCACGAAAGCGUGGGGAGCAAACAGG